GAUGAACGCUAGCGGCAGGCUUAAUACAUGCAAGUCGAGGGGCGGCAUGAUUGUAGCAAUACAAUUGAUGGCGACCGGCAAACGGGAGCGGAACACGUACACAACCUUCCAACAAGUGGCGGAUAGCCCAGAGUACUUAGGAUUAAUACCCCGUAACAUAGCGAUGUGGCAUCACAUUGCUAUUAUAGAUUUUUCGCUGGUUGAUGGGUGUGCGGCUGAUUAGAUAGUUGGCGGGGUAACGGCCCACCAAGUCUACGAUCAGUAGCUGAUGUGAGAGAAUGAUCGGCCACACGGGCACUGAGACACGGGCCCGACUCCUACGGGAGGCAGAAGUAAGGAAUAUUGGACAAUGGACGCAAGUCUGAUCCAGCCAUGCCGCGUGAAGGAUUAAGGUCCUCUGGAUUGUAAACUUCUUUUAUAAGGGACGAAAAAAGGCUUUUCUAGGUCGUCUGACGGUACCUUAUGAAUAAGCACCGGCUAACUCCGUGCCAGCAGCCGCAGUAAUAC
rnacentral:rRNA from 1 species